rnacentral:lncRNA from 1 species
GUACAUUCAGCCAUCACAAUCCUGUUAAGUUCUCCAGGGAUGGGAUUCCCUGCAUCCUCUUCUGGACAAAAAGAAUCACAGUUAAAUUUAAGAAUCAGACGUGGCUGGACCUCACUGAUGAAGCACUUGGUCAAAACACCACUGUGGACACCGGCAACUCUAACUGCAGCGAGGAAAACGCGGUAUCCAAGGCUUCUCCAUCAAGGGGGCACAGUUUUCUCAGGCUCGAGACUGCAGCUCUUCCUUCUCACCUGCUGUUCUGAUUGGCCUGGCCAUGUCUCUGAUUCUGUUGCUGGUGUUGGCCUAUGCUCUGCAUAUGCUCAUCUACCUGCGCUAUCUGGACCAUCACUACGAGUUCAUCACCUCUCCUGCCCACUUCCCAUCUCUGAGAGCGCUCGACAUAGGGGAGGAGAAGGAGCUUCUGGGGAGCCAGGGAGCAGAAUGCUACGAGCUAAGGAACCAACAGAUCUGCAAAAUCUAUAUUUAGUAACACGAGUCUCCAUCUCCUCACCAAGGCCAAAUCAUCUCCAAAAGACAUUUUUCUCUUUUGUGAUGUCUGACUUGUGAAUUGUUUGAUUAAAAAAAGAGAAAAAGAAAAA